UAGCGGGUUUAACACUGCCUGGGCGAUUCACCAGGACUACCCGGCUGAAAAUUUCCAGAGGGUUACACCGUCAGGACAAGGAUUUCUCACUGCUCAACCGCCUGAGCUGACGGCCACGCAAGAAACAAGCGCCGCGGUAGCUGCGUUACUGGUUGUCCAGGGAUUAUCUGCGGGUGAAGCG